CAGUCGCCGCGGUAAAACGGAGGGGGCUAGCGUUGUUCGGAAUUACUGGGCGUAAAGCGCACGUAGGCGGCUUUGUAAGUUAGAGGUGAAAGCCCGGAGCUCAACUCCGGAAUUGCCUUUAAGACUGCAGAGCUAGCAGGUGAGAGAGGUGAGUGGAAUUCCGAGUGUAGAGGUGAAAUUCGUAGAUAUUCGGAAGAACACCAGUGGCGAAGGCGGCUCACUGGCUCAUACUGGACGCUGAGGUGCGAAAGCGUGGGGAGCAAACAGGAUUAGAUACCCCCGUAGUCCCUGUCUCUUAUAA
rnacentral:rRNA from 1 species